GAGGUGGAAUUUCCUGUGUAGCGGUGAAAUGCGUAGAUAUGGGAAGGAACACCAGUGGCGAAGGCAACCUCCUGGACUGAUACUGACACUGAUGUGCGAAAGCGUGGGGAGCAAACAGGAUUAGAUACCCUGGUAGUCCACGCCGUAAACGAUGUCAACUAGCCGUUGGAAUCCUUGACAUUUUAGUGGCGCAGCUAACGCAUUAAGUUGACCGCCUGGGAAGUACGGCCGCAACGUUAAAAUUCAUAGGAAUUGACGGGGGCCCGCACAACCGGUGAAGCUUGUGGUUUAAUU
rnacentral:rRNA from 1 species